GGCUUGCGCUCCCCGCUAUGUUUACUACACCAAGUACGUCAGGGAACGAGAGCCAAUCGGCAGCUGCUUCGUUGCUAGGAGAAACUUCACCUCGUUCCGAGAGUAUACUCCGUGUCAGUCAGCCGACGAAUAUGACAUUGCGCCAUGGCAUCGGACGGGAUUCUGCCAGGCGGGAUUUAGCGUCACAUUCACCAGCGACGGGAGCAAGACUUUGAUAGGUGCAGUUGGAAGCUACAACUGGCAAGG